GGGUUGUGAGGUUAAGCGACUAAGCGUACACGGUGGAUGCCCUGGCAGUCAGAGGCGAUGAAGGGCGUGCUAAUCUGCGAUAAGCGCCGGUAAGGUGAUAUGAACCGUUAUAACCGGCGAUACCCGAAUGGGGAAACCCAGUGUGAUUCGUCACACUAUCAUUAACUGAAUCCAUAGGUUAAUGAGGCGAACCGGGGGAACUGAAACAUCUAAGUACCCCGAGGAAAAGAAAUCAACCGAGAUUCCCCCAGUAGCGGCGAGCGAACGGGGAGGAGCCCAGAGCCUGAAUCAGCAUGUGUGUUAGUGGAAGCGUCUGGAAAGGCGCGCGAUACAGGGUGACAGCCCCGUACACAAAAGCGCAUGUGCUGUGAGCUCGAUGAGUAGGGCGGGACACGUGGUAUCCUGUCUGAAUAUGGGGGGACCAUCCUCCAAGGCUAAAUACUCCUGACUGACCGAUAGUGAACCAGUACCGUGAGGGAAAGGCGAAAAGAACCCCGGCGAGGGGAGUGAAAAAGAACCUGAAACCGUGUACGUACAAGCAGUGGGAGCACAGGUUUACCUGUGUGACUGCGUACCUUUUGUAUAAUGGGUCAGCGACUUAUAUUCUGUAGCAAGGUUAACCGUAUAGGGGAGCCGUAGGGAAACCGAGUCUUAACCGGGCGUUAAGUUGCAGGGUAUAGACCCGAAACCCGGUGAUCUAGCCAUGGGCAGGUUGAAGGUUGGGUAACACUAACUGGAGGACCGAACCGACUAAUGUUGAAAAAUUAGCGGAUGACCUGUGGCUGGGGGUGAAAGGCCAAUCAAACCGGGAGAUAGCUGGUUCUCCCCGAAAGCUAUUUAGGUAGCGCCUCGUGAAUUCAUCUCCGGGGGUAGAGCACUGUUUCGGCUAGGGGGCCAUCCCGGCUUACCAACCCGAUGCAAACUGCGAAUACCGGAGAAUGUUAUCACGGGAGACACACGGCGGGUGCUAACGUCCGUCGUGAAGAGGGAAACAACCCAGACCGCCAGCUAAGGUCCCAAAGUCAUGGUUAAGUGGGAAACGAUGUGGGAAGGCCCAGACAGCCAGGAUGUUGGCUUAGAAGCAGCCAUCAUUUAAAGAAAGCGUAAUAGCUCACUGGUCGAGUCGGCCUGCGCGGAAGAUGUAACGGGGCUAAACCAUGCACCGAAGCUGCGGCAGCGACGCUUAUGCGUUGUUGGGUAGGGGAGCGUUCUGUAAGCCUGUGAAGGUGGCCUGUGAGGGUUGCUGGAGGUAUCAGAAGUGCGAAUGCUGACAUAAGUAACGAUAAAGCGGGUGAAAAGCCCGCUCGCCGGAAGACCAAGGGUUCCUGUCCAACGUUAAUCGGGGCAGGGUGAGUCGACCCCUAAGGCGAGGCCGAAAGGCGUAGUCGAUGGGAAACGGGUUAAUAUUCCCGUACUUGGUGUUACUGCGAAGGGGGGACGGAGAAGGCUAUGUUGGCCGGGCGACGGUUGUCCCGGUUUAAGCGUGUAGGUGUGUGUUCCAGGUAAAUCCGGUUCACUUUAACACUGAGGCGUGAUGACGAGGCACUACGGUGCUGAAGCAACAAAUGCCCUGCUUCCAGGAAAAGCCUCUAAGCAUCAGGUAACACGAAAUCGUACCCCAAACCGACACAGGUGGUCAGGUAGAGAAUACCAAGGCGCUUGAGAGAACUCGGGUGAAGGAACUAGGCAAAAUGGUGCCGUAACUUCGGGAGAAGGCACGCUGACACGUAGGUGAAGUGAUUUACUCAUGGAGCUGAAGUCAGUCGAAGAUACCAGCUGGCUGCAACUGUUUAUUAAAAACACAGCACUGUGCAAACACGAAAGUGGACGUAUACGGUGUGACGCCUGCCCGGUGCCGGAAGGUUAAUUGAUGGGGUCAGCGCAAGCGAAGCUCCUGAUCGAAGCCCCGGUAAACGGCGGCCGUAACUAUAACGGUCCUAAGGUAGCGAAAUUCCUUGUCGGGUAAGUUCCGACCUGCACGAAUGGCGUAAUGAUGGCCAGGCUGUCUCCACCCGAGACUCAGUGAAAUUGAACUCGCUGUGAAGAUGCAGUGUACCCGCGGCAAGACGGAAAGACCCCGUGAACCUUUACUAUAGCUUGACACUGAACAUUGAGCCUUGAUGUGUAGGAUAGGUGGGAGGCUUUGAAGCGUGGACGCCAGUCUGCGUGGAGCCGACCUUGAAAUACCACCCUUUAAUGUUUGAUGUUCUAACGUGGACCCGUAAUCCGGGUUGCGGACAGUGUCUGGUGGGUAGUUUGACUGGGGCGGUCUCCUCCUAAAGAGUAACGGAGGAGCACGAAGGUUGGCUAAUCCUGGUCGGACAUCAGGAGGUUAGUGCAAUGGCAUAAGCCAGCUUGACUGCGAGCGUGACGGCGCGAGCAGGUGCGAAAGCAGGUCAUAGUGAUCCGGUGGUUCUGAAUGGAAGGGCCAUCGCUCAACGGAUAAAAGGUACUCCGGGGAUAACAGGCUGAUACCGCCCAAGAGUUCAUAUCGACGGCGGUGUUUGGCACCUCGAUGUCGGCUCAUCACAUCCUGGGGCUGAAGUAGGUCCCAAGGGUAUGGCUGUUCGCCAUUUAAAGUGGUACGCGAGCUGGGUUUAGAACGUCGUGAGACAGUUCGGUCCCUAUCUGCCGUGGGCGCUGGAGAACUGAGGGGGGCUGCUCCUAGUACGAGAGGACCGGAGUGGACGCAUCACUGGUGUUCGGGUUGUCAUGCCAAUGGCACUGCCCGGUAGCUAAAUGCGGAAGAGAUAAGUGCUGAAAGCAUCUAAGCACGAAACUUGCCCCGAGAUGAGUUCUCCCUGAGACUUAGAGUCUCCUGAAGGAACGUUGAAGACGACGACGUUGAUAGGCCGGGUGUGUAAGCGCAGCGAUGCGUUGAGCUAACCGGUACUAAUGAACCGUGAGGCUUAACCUUACAACGCCGAAG
rnacentral:rRNA from 1 species